rnacentral:lncRNA from 1 species
UACCUCCUUCAGAAUCCUUUCAUUAAAAAAUUGUUGAAGUUUUUCAUUGCAAUAGUUGAUGCAAAAUUGUUCAAAACUGUUAUGCUCAAAGUACUCUCACAAAAGAAACUCUACUUACCAAAACCAGCAAUAUCUAGGACUCCAAUAAAAUAGGAUGAUGUUUCAAAAGGAAAACACUGAUUUACUCUGUUUACCACAUGAUCAAAAAGAUGGCUAUACACUGUCUUUGCCAGGGCAUCACGAGCAUUGUUUGCUUGCUCCACUUUCAGAGGUACCCU